rnacentral:rRNA from 1 species
CACGCCGCGUGAGUGAUGAAGGCUUUCGGGUCGUAAAACUCUGUUGUUAGGGAAGAACAAGUGCUAGUUGAAUAAGCUGGCACCUUGACGGUACCUAACCAGAAAGCCACGGCUAACUACGUGCCAGCAGCCGCGGUAAUACGUAGGUGGCAAGCGUUAUCCGGAAUUAUUGGGCGUAAAGCGCGCGCAGGUGGUUUCUUAAGUCUGAUGUGAAAGCCCACGGCUCAACCGUGGAGGGUCAUUGGAAACUGGGAGACUUGAGUGCAGAAGAGGAAAGUGGAAUUCCAUGUGUAGCGGUGAAAUGCGUAAGAUAUGGAGGAACACCAGUGGCGAAGGCGACUUUCUGGUCUGUAACUGACACUGAGGCGCGAAAGCGUGGGGAGCAAACAGGAUUAGAUACCCUGGUAGUCCACGCCGUAAACGAUGAGUGCUAAGUGUUCAGAGGGUUUCCGCCACUUUAUGCUGAAGUUAACGCAUUAAGCACUCCGCUGGGGAGUACGGCCGCAAGGCUGAAACUCAAAGGAAUUGAC